rnacentral:rRNA from 1 species
UACAGAGGUCUCAAGCGUUGUUCGGAUUCAUUGGGCGUAAAGGGUGCGUAGGCGGCGCGGUAAGUCGGGUGUGAAAUCUCGGAGCUUAACUCCGAAACUGCAUUCGAUACUGCCGUGCUUGAGGACUGGAGAGGAGACUGGAAUUUACGGUGUAGCGGUGAAAUGCGUAGAGAUCAUGAGGAAGACCAGUGGCGAAGGCGGGUCUCUGGACAGUUCCUGACACUGAGACACGAAGGCCAGGGGAGCAAACAGG